UACGUAGGGUGCAAGCGUUAAUCGGAAUUACUGGGCGUAAAGCGUGCGCAGGCGGUUAUGUAAGACAGGUGUGAAAUCCCCGGGCUUAACCUGGGAACUGCAUUUGUGACUGCAUAGCUAGAGUACGGUAGAGGGGGAUGGAAUUCCGCGUGUAGCAGUGAAAUGCGUAGAUAUGCGGAGGAACACCGAUGGCGAAGGCAAUCCCCUGGACCUGUACUGACGCUCAUGCAUGAAAGCGUGGGGAGCAAACAGG
rnacentral:rRNA from 1 species